CUGCAGCAAUUGUUCUUCACAAAUGAAGUGAAUUGUGAGAGGAUGCCGGUUACAGUCCAAAGGUCAAUAAAUUGAAAGACGUUGAAAUCUUCAAAUAAACAGUGGUGUUGAUGUACUAAUGUUUUUUAUGCCGACAAAAUGUUUAAGAAACUGCAGCAAUUUUCUCCUUUGCGCGUUAGCACAAAACAGUUAAGGACGAUUUAUGCUGCGCGCGACAAGCGUCGCGCGUACUUUCGAUUUGCGCGAGACAGGUGCGCGCGCGCUAAGCUGUGUUUAUAGUUAACGCGCUUACCGACGCGUAUUCAACAAAAUCGGAUAACAUGAAGUAAUGCGGGAUUCUCACGAUCAAACAUGGCAACUCGAGUUCGAGGAGAAAUGGAUGACCUUCUCGAUCUGGAGGAGGAGGAAAUGUUGUUCUAUUUACUUUUGUUGCUACAACAGAAAAAACGAAAACGAAGAAGAUAGUCAGUUUGACCACUUCACGCUUCUAGAAAAAGUGAGGGUGAAUACGUUCUUGUUCAACAAAUGAGAGGCAUAGACGAAGAAAUGCAUUUUAAGUAUUUUCGUAUGUCUUCUGCCCGUUUCGACGACUUGGCACAUCGAAUUAUGCCUCAUGUAAAGCAUGCAUCUACGCAUUUAAGUCCUGUUAGUGUAAAAGAAAGGCUAGCAGUUACGUUAAGAAUUCUAUCGUCUGGCGCCUCACAACAAACUGUGGCUUCAAGUUACCGAUUAGGAUCUUCUAAGAAUUCAUUUGAUGAUUUAGGCAUAGCGUUCUCAGCUUCUAAUGACGAAACACGAGCGCACAAAGCCUCAUAUUCAGCUCUACCAACUACAUCUGCCCGCUCAAUUUCCCUCAGUAGACCUAUUGCCGUGUUCAUUUGCGUUGAUACAUUCUCUUUAAUUGACGUCGUUUCGCUGAAACGUCCCUCGAUGAUGGCGAUUUUAGCUCCAAGAAAGGAUAUUUGUUGAAUGAUGUCUUGUGCUUUUUGCUUAAGAACUUCCAUUGGCUCUGUCCUCUCAACUUCCUCUGAAUAUUGUGAAAAGAGAAUUAUAAGACUUCUCCCAUUAUGUUAUUUAUUUUUAUAAUUUUCUAUAUUGUACAAGUAAAUUUUAGCUAGUUCCAACUUCAUCAAUUUCUAAAAGAUUCCUAUAUGUUUGAACUUGUUAUUAUGUUCAGAGAUCAUGAAACAUGCAUAAAUUCAGACUUUCAAGUUAACGAAUAUCAUUUACAAAGACGUGCUCGAAAUUGAUUUGAAAUACUUAGAGAAAUUUUAACGGAAGUUAAAAUGAGCACAAUAUUCCAACAAAGAAUUUAUAAUAUGACAUCCUGAAUGAAGUAAAUUUGAAGCACAAUAAAAAUGAGCACAAUAUUCCAACAAAGAAUUGAUAAUAUGACAUCCUGAGUGAGUAAAUUUGAAGUAAAAGAAAAUGCG